GACAGAGGGGGCAAGCGUUGCUCGGAAUUACUGGGCGUAAAGGGCGCGUAGGCGGGAUGGCAAGUCGGUCGUGAAAUCCUUCGGCUCAACCGAAGAACGUCGAUCGAUACUGCUGUUCUUGAGGGUUGCAGAGGAGACUGGAAUUCCCGGUGUAGCGGUGAAAUGUGUAGAGAUGUGGAGGAACACCAGUGGCGAAGGCGACUCUUUGGUCUGUAACUGACGCUGAGGCGCGAAAGCGUGGGGAGCAAACAGG
rnacentral:rRNA from 1 species